GGAGGAAGGUGGGGAUGACGUCAGGUCAUCAUGGCCCUUACGGCCAGGGCUACACACGUGCUACAAUGGUGCGCACAGAGGGCUGCAAACCCGCGAGGGGGAGCCAAUCUCACAAAACGCAUCGUAGUCCGGAUCGCAGUCUGCAACUCGACUGCGUGAAGUCGGAAUCGCUAGUAAUCGUGAAUCAGAAUGUCACGGUGAAUACGUUCCCGGGCCUUGUACACACCGCCC
rnacentral:rRNA from 14 species